UGGCUCAGAACGAACGCUGGCGGCAGGCUUAACACAUGCAAGUCGAGCGGGUGUAGCAAUACAUCAGCGGCAGACGGGUGAGUAACGCGUGGGAACGCGCCCUUCGGUUCGGAAUAACUCAGGGAAACUUGGGCUAAUACCGGAUACGCCCUUACGGGGAAAGAUUUAUCGCCGGAGGAUUGGCCCGCGUCUGAUUAGCUAGUUGGUGGGGUAAUGGCCCACCAAGGCGACGAUCAGUAGCUGGUCUGAGAGGAUGAUCAGCCUCACUGGGAUUGAGACACGGCCCAGAGACCUACGGGAGGCAUGUCUCUGGGAUCUUGGACAA
rnacentral:rRNA from 2 species